rfam:Ciona savignyi cont_34604, whole genome shotgun sequence.
GGCAGGAUGGCCGAGUGGUCUAAGGCGCUGCGUUCAGGUCGCAAUCUCCCCUGGAGGCGCGGGUUCGAAUCCCGCUCCUGUCA